UGAUCGGAAAUCAGGCGGGAGGACCCGCUGAACUUAA
rnacentral:rRNA from 1 species